rnacentral:lncRNA from 1 species
AUGGUCCUUGUCAUCUUCCUGAGAGCAAACGGGGUCGGGACUCCAGCCUAGGACUUGGAGACUCCCUGCAUCCCCAGCUACCCUGCAGGUGAAACUUCACUGAGCCCACUUGACUUCAGGAGAUGUUACAGCCCAGAUAGCUCUUCAGCCUGCACUGAAGUUCAAUGGUGGUGGUCAUAUCAAUCAUAGCAUUUUCUGGACAAACCUCAGCCCUAACGGUGGUGGAGAACCCAAAGGGGAGUUGCUGGAAGCCAUCAAACGUGACUUUGGUUCCUUUGACAAGUUUAAGGAGAAGCUGACGGCUGCAUCUGUUGGUGUCCAAGGCUCAGGUUGGGGUUGGCUUGGUUUCAAUAAGGAACGGGGACACUUACAAAUUGCUGCUUGUCCAAAUCAGGAUCCACUGCAAGGAACAACAGGCCUUAUUCCACUGCUGGGGAUUGAUGUGUGGGAGCACGCUUACUACCUUCAGUAUAAAAAUGUCAGGCCUGAUUAUCUAAAAGCUAUUUGGAAUGUAAUCAACUGGGAGAAUGUAACUGAAAGAUACAUGGCUUGCAAAAAGUAAACCACGAUCGU